rnacentral:lncRNA from 1 species
AUGUUAAAUAAAGGCAACAGUAGUAUACCGCUGUUUAAACUCAUAAAUCCAUGGACAAAAAACAAAAUCGGGGUAACAAACUAAAACUGAGGGAAACGCAUUAAAUAUAAGAGGAGAACAACGACACAACACUACAAUGUAACACACACAGAAACGGACCAAGCAUCAGACAAAAUCCCACGAGAAAAACAAAUAUAACAUCAAAACCAAAUACAUGAAUUUGGGAUAGACAAGUACCGUGACACGUCUUAUCGCAAUGUGAAUUUACACUCAAAAUUAAGAGAAAACAUACGACGCAACGUUAAAAUGUAACACACACAGAAACGAACUAUAAUAUAACAAUG